UAACGCGAAGAACCUUACCUGGGUUUGACAUGCACUCAAAAGCCGCAGAGAUGUGGUGUCCUUCGGGGGGGUGCACAGGUGGUGCAUGGCUGUCGUCAGCUCGUGUCGUGAGAUGUUGGGUUAAGUCCCGCAACGAGCGCAACCCUCGUUCCAUGUUGCCAGCACGUUAUGGUGGGGACUCAUGGGAGACUGCCGGGGUCAACUCGGAGGAAGGUGGGGAUGACGUCAAAUCAUCAUGCCCCUUAUGUCUAGGGCUGCAAACAUGCUACAAUGGCCGGUACAAAGGGCUGCGAUACCGCAAGGUGGAGCGAAUCCCAAAAAGCCGGUCUCAGUUCGGAUUGGGGUCUGCAACUCGACCCCAUGAAGUUGGAGUCGCUAGUAAUCGCAGAUCAGCAACGCUGCGGUGAAUACGUUCCCGGGUCUUGUACACACCGA
rnacentral:rRNA from 1 species